rnacentral:rRNA from 1 species
GAAACGGUGGCUAAUACCGGAUAUGCCGAAAGGUGAAAGGUUAACUGCCUGGAGAUGAGCUCGCGUCUGAUUAGCUAGUUGGUAGGGUAAAAGCUUACCAAGGCGACGAUCAGUAGCUGGUCUGAGAGGACGAUCAGCCACACUGGGACUGAGACACGGCCCAGACUCCUACGGGAGGCAGCAGUGGGGAAUUUUCCGCAAUGGGCGAAAGCCUGACGGAGCAAUACCGCGUGAGGGAGGAAGGCUCUUGGGUUGUAAACCUCUUUUCUCAAGGAAGAAAAAUGACGGUACUUGAGGAAUAAGCAUCGGCUAACUCCGUGCCAGCAGCCGCGGUAAUACGGAGGAUGCAAGCGUUAUCCGGAAUGAUUGGGCGUAAAGCGUUCGCAGGUGGCAUUGAAAGUCUGCUGUCAAAGAGUCUGGCUCAACCAGAUACAGGCAGUGGAAACUUCAAARCUAGAGUGCGGUAGGGGCAGAGGGAAUUCCUGGUGUAGCGGUGAAAUGCGUAGAGUUCAGGAAGAACACCGGUGGCGAAAGCGCUCUGCUAGGCCGCAACUGACACUGAGGGACGAAAGC